UACUGGAACGAAUUAUGUGCAACAAGAAGCCAUGUCCAAUAAGACCUAUCUGUGUUGAAGCACCAAUAGAGUGAGGGGAGCAGACGUCCGGCUCAGUUGGCCCACCUGCGUGUCCUGCAAGCAAACACUGUGCUGCACCUGCAAGGUACUGACUGUAUCAGGCUGAGUCAAAUAAAUGUAAAAGUUUCGCAUUGUA